UCAGUGCGCACCGAGCAGCCUGGCAGCUGUAUUCCUAGGCUCUGAUUGGGCGGAGGGCGGUGAUUCCUUCUGUCACGAUUUGGGUCGCUCCCACCGGAGGACACCGUCCGCUCGAGUCCAGCUUUCACCGAGGUACUCGGGAGAGGAGGCAGGAUUCCUCUGAAAGGGCUGGGCUGUCAGCUCGGUGUCUGUCUCCGAGGAGGAGAGGAGCAGGAGAGAGAGAGAGGGAAUAAAAGAUCAUCAGCGCUGGAGCUACCAGCUGCCUUUUAUUUUAUUUUUUUUCCUCCGUCGGGGCUGUGUUGAAAGUCUUUCACGAUGCCGGUGUUUCACACCAAGACCAUUGAGAGCAUCCUGGAGCCGGUGGCCCAGCAGAUCUCCCACCUGGUCAUCAUGCAUGAGGAGGGGGAGGUGGAUGGGAAAGCCAUCCCGGACCUGUCGGUGCCGGUGGCCGCGGUGCAGGCGGCUGUGAGCAACCUUGUGCGGGUGGGGAAGGAAACAGUUCAAACCACAGAGGACCAGGUGAUGAAGAGAGAUAUGCCUCCUGCUUUUAUUAAGGUGGAGAACUCGUGCUCGAAGCUCGUUCAGGCGGCUCAGAUGCUUAAGGCAGAUCCAUACUCUGUUCCUGCGAGGGAUUACCUGAUCGAUGGAUCCAGAGGGAUUCUGUCUGGAACGAGUGACCUACUCCUUACCUUUGAUGAAGCAGAGGUGCGUAAGAUAAUCCGUGUGUGUAAAGGUAUCCUCGAGUAUCUGACAGUAGCUGAGGUGGUGGAGACCAUGGAAGACCUCAUCACUUACACAAAAAAUCUCGGACCAGGCAUGACAAAGAUGUCAAAGAUGAUCGAGGAGCGGCAGCAGGAACUGACCCACCAAGAGCACCGACAGAUGCUCGUCAGCUCCAUGAACACCAUCAAGGAGCUGCUGCCCGUUCUCAUCUCAGCUAUAAAGAUUUUUGUGGCAACCAAAAGCAGCCGAGGAGCCGGCAUUGAGGAGGCUGAGAAGAACCGAAGGUUUACGUUUGAAAAGAUGAGCGCCGAAAUCAGCGAGAUCAUCAGAGUCUUACAGCUCACCACGUGGGACGAAGACGCCUGGGCAAACAAGAAGGACAUGGAGGCCCUGAAAAGAUCUCUGGCUUUGAUCGAAUCAAAGAUGGUGCAGGCCAAAAGCUGGCUCAAAGACCCACAAGGACAGCCAGGAGACCCUGGCGAGGUGGCGCUGCGUGUCAUUCUGGACGAAGCUGGUAAGGUGGGAGAGCUGUGCGCUGGGAGGGAGAGGAAAGACAUACUGGCGACCAGCAGGGCUCUGGGGCAGAUGACUGAUCAGAUUGGGGAUCUGCGUGUCAGAGGCCAGGGCCAGACUCCAGGCUGCAUGCAGCGCGCAGGCCAGUGCUUACAGGGCUUAGAUCUGCUCUUUGGCAAAGUGGACAGUGCUGCUCGGAGACUGGAGGCUCUAAUCAACGCGAAGCAGGCCAUUGCCAGGAGGCUGGAUGCUGCCCAGGCAUGGUUGGCCGAUCCUAAUGGUGGUCCUGAGGGAGAGGAGAACAUCCGAGCGCUUCUAGCGGAGGCCAAACGUAUCGCAGACCUCUGUGAAGACCCCAAGGAGAGGGACGACAUCCUGCGCUCCAUAAACGAGAUAGCAGGACUCACCGCCCGGCUCAUGGAGCUGCGCAAACAGGGUAAAGGCGACAGUCCAGAGGCCCGAGCUCUGGCAAAGCAGAUUGGAGCGGCUCUGCUGAACCUGCAGUCCAAGACCAACAGGGCGGUGGCCAACAUGAGACCAGCGAAGCCUGCUGUCACGCUGGAGGGUAAAAUGGAGCAGGCUCUGCGCUGGGUGAAUAAUCCCGGGGUGGAUGACAGAGGCGUAGAGUGUGAGAGGAUAGAGUGGAACACAGGCCAGGCAGCAAUCAGAGGAAUGGUUGGAGAAGGGAAGAGGCUGGCGGGAGGCCUGCUGGGUCCAUACCGACAGGACAUGGUCGGGCGCUGCGACCGAACAGAGGGGCUGAUGACAGCUUUAGCAGACAUGGCGAACAGGGGAGAGGCUGAGGCUCCUCAUGCACGAGCCACAGCGGCACAACUGCAGGACACCCUCAAGGACCUGAGGCAGCAUAUGCAGGAGGUCAUGACCCAGGAGGUAUCCGAUGUUUUCAGCGACACCACCACGCCCGUCAAGCUGCUGGCGGUGGCUGCAACUGCUCCUCCUGAUGCGCCCAACAGGCAGGAGGUCUUCGAAGAACGUGCAGGGAACUUUGAAACCCACGCGGGACGACUGGGAGCAACCGCAGAGAAGGCCGCCGCCGUGGGAACAGCGAAUAAGAGCACCGUGGAGGGAAUUCAUGCUGCCGUGAAACACGCCAGGGAGCUGACGCCGCAGGUGACCUCCGCUGCUCGGAUCCUGCUAAAGAAUCCAGGAAACAAAGCGGCCUAUGAGCACUUUGACACCAUGAAGAACCAGUGGAUUGACAAUGUGGAGAGACUGACCGGUCUGGUCGAUGAAGCCAUAGACACCAAAUCCUUGUUGGAUGCUUCUGAGGAAGCCAUUAAAAAAGACAUUGACAAGUGCCGAGUUGCCAUGGCAAACGUUCAGCCCCAAAUGCUCGUUGCCGGGGCAACGAGCAUAGCGAGACGAGCUAACCGGGUCUUGUUGGUGGCCAAGAGGGAAGUGGAGAACUCUGAAGAUCCCCGGUUCAGAGAUACCGUAAAACAUGCGUCUGACAUCCUCUCACACACCAUCUCACCCAUGGUGAUGGACGCCAAGGCUGUGGCCGGGAACAUACAAGACAAAGGUCUACAGAAAGCAUAUUUGGACUCUUGUCAAAGGAUCUUGGCUGCAGUGGGAAAAGUCAGAGAAGCCUUCCAGCCUCAGGAACCAGACUUCCCGCCUCCGCCUCCUGACCUGGACCAGCUCCAUGUUAGCGACGAGCAGGCUCCGCCUAAACCCCCACUGCCGGAGGGCGAGGUGCCUCCGCCCCGUCCCCCUCCCCCGGAGGAGAAGGACGAGGAGUUCCCGGAGCAAAAGGUCGGCGAGGUGCUCAGCGAACCCAUGAUGGUGGCGGCCAGGCAGCUGCACGACGAAGCGCGCAAGUGGUCAAGCAAACCUGAGGAUGAGGAGGCAGUAGAGGAGAGGGAGGUAGAUGAUGAAGAUGAGUUUACUGAUGGUGAGGAUGACUAUGAGCCAGAGCUGCUGAUGAUGCCGUCCAACCAGCCUGUCAAUCAGCCCAUUCUGGCAGCUGCCCAGUCUCUCCACCAGGAGGCUCGCAAGUGGUCCAGCAAGGGUAAUGACAUCAUAGCAGCAGCCAAGCGGAUGGCUCUGCUGAUGGCUGAAAUGUCUCGGCUGGUGCGUGGCGGGAGCGGAAACAAGCGAGCGCUGAUUCAGUGCGCAAAAGACAUCGCCAAGGCCUCGGAUGAGGUGACGAGACUGGCUAAAGAAGUGGCCAAGCAGUGCACAGACAGACGCAUCAGGACGAACCUGCUGCAGGUCUGUGAACGAAUUCCCACCAUCAGCACUCAGCUGAAGAUCCUUUCCACCGUCAAAGCUACCAUGCUGGGACGAACAAACAUUAGUGAAGAGGAGUCAGAGCAGGCCACGGAGAUGCUGGUCCACAAUGCCCAGAAUUUGAUGCAGUCCGUAAAGGAGACGGUGCGAGAAGCAGAAGCUGCCUCCAUUAAGAUCCGCACAGAUGCAGGAUUCACCCUCCGCUGGGUGCGCAAGACGCCUUGGUACCAAUGAACUUACCUGCCCUCGCCGAGUAAAAGUAGCAACGGCCGCUCUCAUUUUGAGCAGGCGUAUCGAGGGGAAACUGCAGGAUUUUGAGCCAUUCUCCCCUGUAGUUUUAGGCAGGAGUCUUUGAUUUGUUACCAUGCAGGUUUCAUUUAUGGGUGGGAAUUUAGCUUGGCUCGCUUUGGUCCUCAACUGUGGAAACACACAGGUCUAUCAGGAGACUUUUUAAUAUAUAUUUUUGGUAUUUUGGGUUAUUAGACUUUAUCUAAAUCCUAGGUAUAUAUUUUUUGCAUGACUCAUUUUCUAUUUUCUAACAGCAGAUUCUGACAUGGAGACUCUCAACGCUUAGAGGAUGUUUGAAAUUUGCAUUGUUUUUCAGUCCUGGUUUUGUAAUGUAUGUUGUAUAUACAAUAAUUGUCUGCUUCAUAGAGGAUUCACCAAGUUUGAGACUAAAAUGAAGAGUCUUGAGUGAGCUUCAUGUUUACUUUCAGUCAUCUGAAAAUUUAUGAAAUCAACAGAGGUGCAUCAUCACUGUUGCCACUGGUGAUGUUUAUAUUUCAGUAACGAAAAGAUCUUGUGGGUUUAAAAAUAAAAAAAUGGUUAUUAAAAGUUAGUAACAUCUAAAAAGGUGGCAGUAUUGAUUUGUGAGAAAGUGAAGUUUAGCUGAUUAACAUGCCUUUACUUUUAUGAACUUUUACAUUUAAUGAUGCCAAAGGAUUUAUUUUGCAUUAUUUACAAGUCCCUUUGAAUUGUUUGAACACUCAAAAUCCAGGUUAUUAUAAAAAAAAAUAAUGCAGUUUCAUUAAAGAUGCUGUAGUAAUGGUUGAUGUUUGUUACUAGCAAAAAAAAACUCAAAAAACUAAGCUUUUUGAAUGUUUUCUCUGCUUUGCAUUUUUUAUCUAAUUGUAGUUCUUUUGUGGCUGCAUUCUGCAACAGUUGAACUGUUUGGGAUUUACAGUAUCAGAGCAAACGUAGCUUUUAGCCGUCCCAAUCUGAGUUCUCUGAUGCAAUUUUUCUUUUUACUUUUUUUUUUUUUUUUUUAGAUGACCCCGGUGGUUUUGAGAAGUAGUUCUGUAAUAACCAGAGCAACAAACUAUAUUUUUUAAAGAUUUAAACAUUUAAAUAAUCGUUAGUGGUUUAAGUUUGUUAAUUAAAAGAAGCUGAAAGAAAAAACUGAUGUCACAUACAGACCCAGUCAGAAGUUUACUUGCACUCAUCAGUAUAAAUGUCAUUCUUGCUCUUGACAAUUUAUUUGAUCUAGUUUUGUUUUUUGUUUUUUUUGUUUUUUUCAGACAACUUUAAUGGCUUUUAAGAUAAGAAUCAACUGCACAAGCUUGAGUCUAUCUUGCACUCUUUUUCUUUUUAAAAGCCCCACCUUACCUCCUCCAAACAUUCUUCUUUUUGUGCCAAAACUGCUCAGUAUUUGUCUCCCUAGACUUAUUUUCUUCAGAAAUCAUCAGGCUUCUUUCCUCUCAGCUGAUGUAAAACUACGGUGGUGUUACAAGAUGUUUUUGGCUUGAGGGUUCCUGUUUUUUUGGGAGGAUGAAAAGACA